CGGACGUGAGGAACCUGCCUUGAAGAGGGGGACAACAGUUGGAAACGACUGCUAAUACCGCAUGACGCAUAGAGGUCGCAUGAUCUUUAUGCCAAAGAUUUAUCGCUUCAAGAUGGCCUCGCGUCUGAUUAGCUAGUUGGCGGGGUAACGGCCCACCAAGGCGACGAUCAGUAGCCGGACUGAGAGGUUGAACGGCCACAUUGGGACUGAGAUACGGCCCAG
rnacentral:rRNA from 1 species